AUAGUGACAUCACAUGGGAGAGUGACGGAGAGCCGUGGAAAACAAGAAUGGUUGUAGAAGAAGAAAGAGGAGAUGACAACCCAGGAAUGGACAACUAGUUUAGUGCAGACAAGACCACCCCGUAGAAGGCAACAUGUGAUAUGAUCCUCGGGAGACAAAGGAAAUUACCUAUUAAGUGGAAGGGAUGAUCUUCCUUUAGCCACGCUCCAAAAAAGACAGAUGUCAUCGCCCCAAACAGUCUGAGUCACUGCACGCCUCCACACCCCUGAGUAACCCAAGGACAUCAGGGGAAGGGAGGACUGUCAUUUUUACAUUUCAGACAUUUAGUUGAUGCUCUUAGUCAUGGUGGCGGUGUCUUGCUCAAGGACACGUGGAUGGGAACAGUAAUGUAAUGAAAUCAAUCAAAAAAGAGGGUUUGUGUUUGUGACCUCCGGGUAUUCUUCUUCUUUUGGAGAGUACAAUUGAUAAAAGAUAGAUGGAAAAGCCCCAAAACGUGCUGCACUGUAACGCACUUAUCGAUUUAGGUCGGGAAGACGUAUCUCCGUGUAAACAGGUGUUAUUCUGUGAACUCUACUUCUACCUUUUUGAACCUGUGACCUCAAUAUACUCUCUGUAUCCUGUAGUGUGUAACCCUUAAAUGGUUUCUGUAUCCUGGAGGAUACAUUGCCAAGAUAACGUUAUGAAACAGAGAUAAUUACUCACACAUAUACUUGUGUUUUGAAGCAUACACAAAAUAUAACAUAGCAUAUGACACCUCUUCUGUGCAAUACGUAUCGCUUUGUGAUUAGCAUUAUGAAAACUGGACGUUAUCUCUUAGUUAGACUAUUCGAUUACUGUGACAUCAAUAAUAACUGUGAUAACUGUGCAAUAUCCUUUCAUUUGUACUACUGGCUGCUCUCACACUACUUUCUACAUGCCACACUUAUGUUUUUGAAUACUGCUCCUGGAAUAAAGUCAAUUUCCCCUCUUUGGGAGGAGAAUUCUGAUUAUGAUAUUACUCAGAUAAUCAGGUAUCAUAAAAAGGUGUAAUAACAAUUUAAUGUAUGUGUAAAAGCAGUCAAAAUAAUGGAUGUAAUAUGGUUUUAAUAUCAGUGUAACAUGGGUGGAAUAAAGGUUGAAUAUGGAUGUAGUUGAGGUGUAAUAUGGGUGUACUCUGGGUUCAAUAAUAUACCCUA